rnacentral:lncRNA from 1 species
ACAGAAGCCUCAUGCAUCUUGACCAGGACGGUGGAUGCAUGGCUUACAUUGGUCACAACUUGUCAACUUGUAUGACUGAAAACUGAACAUCACAUUGAAUUGGACUCAAAGGCAAGACCUGAGGCAAAAUUCAUGUAAGGAGGGAGUUUGGGCGAAGCUUGAGGACUGCUGCCCGGAAGCGUAGAUUCAAGUUGCCCUGAAUACACCUCCUAUUAGCAGCUGUUACAGGUUCAGAAAAAGGAUGGAGGUAGAAAGUCCUCUCUCCCAAACACUAUGAUUGACACUGCAGAGUUCUGCAACUCUCGUACGAGGGAGAUUUCAUGAUGAUCUCAGUAACCGAUCAGAGAAUCAACGACUGACUUCGCUGAGGCACGGUGAUGAAAAGGUCAAGGUGGUCUGGUCUGAGUGAAGUCACAGCAAGAACCCUUGUCCAGGGCCAUUCUCACCUUUGGGGACAGCUCCUUCCCUGUAUGGUCCUCAUGUCACUGCACUUUCCUGCCUUGUUUCUUGCUGAAGCCAUUAUUUCUUAAUUCCUUAGUAGAUAUGCAGAGCGGACAUCCCAAAGAAGCUAGAAAAAUUGAUGAGCAGGGAACAGAUCAAAUCCUCUCCAUCAGUGGAAGGCAAUUCACGAGGGAAGAAGGCAAGACCAUGGGGUAAUUUUUCUGAGACUUGACAAUGUUUGCCAAGUAAAUAAAUCUGCCAUUUAACACUACGAUAAAAGCUGUCAUAGCCAGGGUAUUAGUGACUACUUGAGGUUUGAGGACAAUGAAGACAGAGUAAGAUAAACAUCCUUACUAUCCAGAAAAAAAAAACGGAACCAGAAGACAGCGCUUCUUACUAUCCACAAAAGAAAUGGAACCGCAAGACAGCCCUUCUUAUUUUUCUCCAUCUUCGAUGGUGAGGAAGAAUAAAAAAAAAGUUGCUUUUAAAGUAUAUUCAUUAAAAUCAAAUUCUAUUAUCAUACACACAAAAUAUUUACGUGAAACCAGCCACAAAAGAAUGACAAGGAACGCUACUGAUUUGUCCAUUCUGGGGGAUAAGAACACAGAUUCUUAUCUCACUCUUGUUAAAAGAAAACUUCAGCUGAAUUAAAUUUAAAGGAGUUUAAUUGAGCAAUGAAUGAUUUGCACAUCGGGCAGCCCCCAGAAUUACAGCAGAUUCAGAGAGACUCCAGUGCAGCCACGUGGUGGAAGAUUUAUAGACAAAAAAAGGGAAGUGAGGUAGAGAAACACCUGGAUUAGUUACAGGUUGGCAUUUGCCUUAUUUACACACAGUUUGAACAUUCAGCAGUGUAUGAGUGAUUGAAGUACGGCUGCUGGGACUGGCCGAGACUCAGCAAUUGUGACAGGUACAUACUCCUAAUUUAGGUUUUCAAUCUUGUCUACCUAUUAAGUUAGGCUCAGUUUGUUCACAGGGACUCCAAUACAGAAGUACGGAGUCCUUCUCAGGCCAUAUUUAGUUCGCUUUAACAAUUCCCCCUUUUUGGUCAUUUUAUCAGUUUUGAGAGAUUGAUCGAAACUUGAGUUAUUGAUGUCACUGUCACCAUUGGUCUUGAAACCCACUAGGAAGCAGAACAGUGAGUUUUGCAAAGGUAGGAACAAGGACUGAGUUGAGGAUACCACCUUAUGCUGGAAAGUCCUGUUUGCAAGAGAAAAACAAAACCUGGUCUAUUCUAGGACCCAUGUGUUUCCUUAAAGUCUUAAUUCGAUUAUGUCACAUUUAGCACGAAUGAUGCCAUUUUGGUUCGGUUUGGUCUGUUGGGACCUAGUGCUCAGUCCAAAACAAUGGCCUCCCAUCAUUUUGUUUAAAAAAUUCCCCCUUUGUCAGGUUGUCACUUAGGCAAGAGUGUGACCAAAACUUAGGAUGUUAGCGCCACUCUCCGUUACUAUCAUUUUGGAUUUCCAGUCUCAGCAUGUCACUCAUCGGUUUCGGUGUCCUCGUGGUCACACAUUUCUUUCAGCUCUUGUCAUUCCAGUUGAAGAGAGACCAUCUGACGUUCUAAAGAUGGCUUCAUGCAAACAUUUAAAACCUUUGAGAGAAUACAGUGCACCAGGGAGACUAUUCUUAUGACUACUGAGAGGGUUAACACCAAGAAUUUGGAGUAUGCUCCUUAGCCAGGGUCCCCAUAAACCAGACCACCUAAACUCAAAUAGACCAUUCUUUGACUUAACUCAGUGGUCUUUUCGUUAAUUCCCUACAACAGACUCUCUAUAACACCUGAUGUUUUCUCCAUAGGCCUUAAGUGCCAGCAUCUGCACAGGUACUUUCCUGUUUAGCCAAUUCUAUUUUUUAGCAAAUGAUGCCCUUCUAGAAGAGGGAAGGCCUCUUGGCAAUGGUCUCUUUAACCCAUGCUGUGGGUUAAGAGGAGUGAACCAAUGUUCUGCUUCUGAAUGAUUAUGAGGCACCAUAUGUACCAUUGAAGUUUCUCACCUAUGAUACACUGGGCCUUCAUCUUUAUCUAUCAAGUUAUAAGAUUAUCCAUGUAUAAAGCUGGCUGCAAAGCCCUUCACAAAUAAAAGUAUACCCCAUAAGUGCACAAAACAGACCCCCUUCUCACUUCUGUUGUUCACAGAGGCGGAAGCAACGGAAAAACAUUCAAAGAUAAGAGUCUCAUGAUAGUAAGAAGUCUUGAUCCAUGAUCUUCAGAAAGAGCUGCUCACAUCAAGGAUGCCAUCUUCUUCUGGGGAGAAACUUCCCUGAUUAGCUUUACCUUAAGGGUUUCAAUGGAUGUAGAGUUCCAAGAGUGACCCUGCUCAGUUGUGAGAUUAUGACCCCAAGGUUCAAGAUCCUGAUGUUUUGUUGCAGUGAUGAUGCCAAGGGCAGCGUUUCUCUGAUGUUCUCAGAAGAUCCCAUCUUUGGGUUCUAGAUUGUGAAGGGGUUGAUUGUCCUCAGUGAACCAUAAAAAGCUCUUUACCUGGUGAAAAUACACUGAUACAUAGUAAUCUACUGUUAUAACAUUAGCCCUCCUGCAUGGGAAAGCUUUAGUACAACCAGAACACAUACAUUGAAAAUGACAACUGAAUGAAACCCCUUUAUAAAUGUUUAAAUGCCUCAUCAGGUAGCCAAAUGUACAUGAAGCUUUGAUUGACUUCCCAGGAGUAUGGGUUUGACAAACUAAACAUUGUUUAUAAACUAUUUUAACAAUCUGUAAGUCACCACACCAACAUAUUUAAUUUGGAUCAUUUUAUCUUUUCCAGGAUGAGUCAUGGAAUGCAUAACUUUUAAUAACAAAAGCUUUAAGGACUCACGAAGGACAAGGCAGCCAUCUUGGUUCUCCAUGAGUCCAUGCUUAACAUCGGACUUAUGUCCUCUUGGGUGCCAGUUGUUUCUCCAAAUUGGGCACAUAGCAUGGAUAACUGAUGGGUUAUCACAGGGGAUGGAAAAAUCUCAACAAAAAAGGAGCGCAGAAGAGCCUGGCUAGGCGGGAGAACACGGUCAGGCCCGCAGGAGACGCCGCGGCACCUGCCAGAAAGAGAGCCGCAGGCCAAGACCAGGAGACGCGAGAGAGGUGGGCAGGGCUGCCCGAGAGACCCAGGCGGCCAUUGCCCGCCCUGCGUCUGCGCCUGCGCCGGAGCCUCCUCCACACUGCGCCAGCGCCGAGUCCGGCCGCCUCCUCAUUGCGCCGGCGCCGGGGCUUCCUCCACACCGCGCCUGCGCCGAUGACAACCCGCCUCUACAGGACGCCUGCGCAACGCCAUAGUCACCUCAUCAGCUCCGUGCACUUACGAGUCUCUCUCUGAUCGACCACGUGUUCCUGUCGGCUCACAGAGGCCGCCUCAGGGUCCUCCCCCAUUGUCUUCCUCGCACCCUCCACUGUUCCCGGCCCUUCACUCUGCGCUUGCGCAGGAGUCGCUCGCUCCUCUCUGCGCCUGCGCAGAGGCCACCUCCUCCCCGCCCGUCCGCUCCCUUGGCGUCGUCUUGGGCCGCGCCCCGACCCCUUCUGUUUACGCAUGCGCAGGAGCCGCCCUGCGCGGGUGGGGGGCUGAGCCCCUGUGGCUUCAGGUUUAAAGGCGCGAGCGCCACCCACGCAGGCACAAGGGCUCCUAGUCGUUUUAUUUUUAGCGUAAGGUUUUCCUCUUUAACAAGGAAGUAAAAAAAAAAGUUGUGCAAUAAAUAUUAAUCGUCCUUAUAUGUACUCGGGAACGUUCGUCCUUUAGGUUUUCUCCUGGCGCAUGGGCGCCGCCAAUCAUUUCGGGGCUUAUUUUGGUUCUAAAGCCCGGGGCAGCCAGGCCUCCCUGCCUGGCCUCGGCGGGGACGCGGGACCUGGGGCCCCGGACCGGGCCUAACCGCCCUGGCCGGUCCCCACUGAUGGUGGCGGUCGGUCCUGAUCGUCCUGAUGGCAGCGACCAGGCUGGACUCGGGCUGUGCAGGGGCGAGGGGAGCAGGGCGGGGUGACGCCCGGAGAGCGGCCUGGAGAGCGCGUGCUUCAGAAGGCGUGGGCACCCUGUCCCCUUUGCAGAUGGGGAUGCAGGCCCUGGUGGCGGUGGAGGGGAGAUGGGGGCAGGGACGUUGCCGGGCAGAGGAAGCUGGCCAUUCCUGGGGGAUUCCUGGGAGCCAUGUGGGAGAGGCGUGAGGAAGUGAGACCUUCACCCCGAGACAGGUCCUGACACACCCUCUGGUGCCUCUACUCAAGUGAGAAGUUUGGCUGCUGUAACUGACUGGGAAGCUUAAAAUAACAGACAAUCAUCUCUCACAUUUAUGGGGACUGGGAAGUCCAAGACCAAGUUGCCAUCUGGGGAGGGCCUGUUCCUCACAGCGCCUUCCAGCUCAGGCCUCGUUUAUAAGGGCACUCAAGCCUUCCACGACAACGGGUCCUCAUGACUUACUCACCUCGGAAAGCCCCACCCCCAAGACCAUCACAUUGUGGGUGAUGGCAGAGCAUAAGGUGCCUUCCCCACAUGCUCGGGUUGGCCCAGCGUCUCACGCUAGCAGCUACGUGGAAUAGUUAUUUUUUCUGGAGAACUCUGGGACCCCUCUGAUGUCUUGGAGCACCCACACAGGCCGUUCACUGUGCACGCUGUGAGGCUGUCGUCUUGGAGCACCCACACAGGCCGUUCACUGUGCACGUGGUGAGGCUGUCCUCUGGGGAGUUCUGCUGUUGUAUGGGUUCUGUCUGUGUCAAUGUCCCAGCGGGAACGCAGGGCACACUAGCGUCAUCCCCAGAGGGCUUGGUAAGGGGACUGUUUGCAGAGACAUAGGCAGAGGGCUGGAAAACUACCAAAAAAGUGCAGUGUUCUGGACCUAAUAAUAGCAGAGCUAUUCUCACCCUGGUCUGAAGGCAGGAGGGGAGGAGCAGUUAAUGGAUUCUGGAAGUCAGGUUGCACAGAGUCACCUUGAAAGAUGCCAUGACCUUCACCGAGGGCCAGACAGAGACUAAGAUGACCCCAUAGGAGAAUAAGACCUAGACCUCAUCCUCCUGCCUCCUGCCAGUCCCUGCCAGGGGUCGCCAAUGGCAAAACAGGACUGGAAGCCAGAGGCCAUGGAAGCCCAUGGAUGAAGUCCACAGGCCAGCCUCCCCGAGAGCAGCCUGGACGGUCCGCAGGAGACGUCUCCUGUCUUAGGCGUCCCACGCCGCGUGCUCCUGUUCAGCCCUGCCGAGGUGGAAGCUUGGAGUGGCUCACGGUGGAUGCAUUGACGCUGCAGACGCCAGCAAGUGCUACAAACCAGAGCUGGCCUUUAACUCAGACUGAUGGAGAAGGUGUUAAUAAUGCAGAUUAGACUUAAAAGUGUUGAAGCCAUUGCACUGUGAACAGCAAAAAAAUUGAAGAACUCUUCUGGCAUUUAAAAACAAUUACUCAGUUCAGCAGAGAAGUCACUGACAAACGAGAUCACACUGACUGCUUUGUCGUUUUGGUUUUGUCUUACUCAUUAAUGCAAAUAAGAACAUUCACUAGCAUCUGUGUCGGGCCUACCCUCCCUGGUCAAAUACAGCUACAGUCUCCCUGCAGAAACGAGUUUUCCAGAAAUGAGCCGAUGUUUUCUGCGAGAAUCAAUUGGUCAUAUACAAUUUACAAAAAUGAGUACUGUAUACUAUAUUUGUAAACUGUACACUGCAGAUGCUUUAUUUCACUGAAAUUUAUAAUACACUUAUCCAUGUAUAUGCAUGCAUGCAUUUUUGUUCCUGAGAUCCAGCUGUGAAAUGUUUACCAGCACAUAAAUUACCAGCACAUGCUCUUUUUUGUUAACCUACUAGGUAAAAUCUUCAUUUAUUACAUCAAAUUCUUGUAGUUUUUGUAUUGCAAUUAUGCAGAUAUUGAUUAUCGCAGUAUUACUGCAAUUAUACAGAUACCACAAUUUCAGAUAUUGAUCAGCGUGUUCAGUUGGUUUCUAAGGAGGUUUACUUACCUCAUGGUACACCUAGUUUGCAUAGUUUGAUUAUAUUUAACUCUUAUGCUAAUUGGGGGAAGUCAUUGAUUUAUUGGACAGAUGCACCUGUGGUCUUCCCUGAGCACAUCCUGGCCAAGGAUGCUGCCCCCAGGAGAUUUGAGAAGUCCUGUAAGGAUCAUAUCAGUAUUUUCAAAUACUUAUAGAAAAGCCAGAGGGAUUGACCCAGAAUUACCAAUAUAAGCUUGACCCUGAGAUAACAAUGCCAUUUUAUGUUUGCAUGCAUAAAACCAAUGCAAGAGGCUGAUGACUCCAGAUCCCUUAUAUAAGCCAAUAAAAAGUAGUUUCAUUUUUUAUUUCAUUUAAAAAAGUGUACCAUUAACCUAAAGCCUGCUUGUAAAACCAGUUUGUUUCUGAAGCAUUAGCUCAAAGCUCACUUGCAUUUGGUGAGAAGUCCCUCACGUGUGGCUGCCCUGGCUGGGAGCUCUGAGCUCUGGGAGCCAUUGGAACUGCUAAUCCCACCAGUGCCGUCUGAUUCCCUCUGCUCUAAUGGAGGUCUUUUGCCGGGUAUCCAGUGGCAUUUUCUGGGCUUGGGAGUCAGUAAUUCCCAGUGAUCAAGUGUCUCUGCUCUGAAAAUGCCUUUCUUUGUGAUAUGAAGCUGUCAGUGAUGGAGACUGACCUUUUCAUAAGUCAGUGAAUUUAGUUUCUUUCUCCUCAGCAGUGUCUGGGGGCUGGUCCUCAGCC